rnacentral:rRNA from 1 species
AAUCACUUGUCUUUUAAAUGGAGACCUGUAUGAAUGGCAUAACGAGGGCUUAACUGUCUCCUUUUCCCAGUCAAUGAAAUUGAUCUCCCCGUGCAGAAGCGGGGCUACGCCCAUAAGACGAGAAGACCCUAUGGAGCUUUAGACACCAAAGCAGACCAUGUACCCACUCUCCCACAAAGAGAAGAAGCAAAUGAUCCCCUGCCCUAGUGUCUUCGGUUGGGGCGACCGCGGAGAAAAAAGAAACCCCCGUACGGAAUAGGUACACUCAUACCCACAACCAAGAGCCACAGCUCUAACUACCAGAACUUCUGACCAACAGAUCCGGCAAUGCCGAUUAAUGGACCAAGUUACCCUAGGGAUAACAGCGCAAUCCCCUUUUAGAGCCCA